UGGUUAAAGCAGUCGCCCGGCAAGCGAAAGACGCAGGUUCGAUUCCUGCUUCAGCGA
rfam:Lasius niger Lnig_2.1_17970, whole genome shotgun sequence.